rnacentral:rRNA from 1 species
AGAGUUUGAUCAUGGCUCAGGACGAACGCUGGCGGCGUGCCUAACACAUGCAAGUCGAACGGAUCACAUGAUUUCGGUUGUGUGGUGAGUGGCGAACGGGUGAGUAACACGUGAGUAACCUGCCCCGGACUUUGGGAUAACGACUCGAAAGGGUUGCUAAUACCGGAUAUUGAGCUGCCGCUGCAUGGUGGUGGUUUGAAAGAUUUUUUGGUUCGGGAUGGGCUCGCGGCCUAUCAGCUUGUUGGUGGGGUGAUGGCCUACCAAGGCGUCGACGGGUAGCCGGCCUGAGAGGGCGACCGGCCACACUGGGACUGAGAUACGGCCCAGACUCCUACGGGAGGCAGCAGUGGGGAAUAUUGCACAAUGGGCGGAAGCCUGAUGCAGCAACGCCGCGUGCGGGAUGAAGGCCUUCGGGUUGUAAACCGCUUUCAGCUAUGACGAAUUUGACGGUAGUAGCAGAAGAAGCACCGGCUAACUACGUGCCAGCAGCCGCGGUGAUACGUAGGGUGCGAGCGUUGUCCGGAUUUAUUGGGCGUAAAGAGCUCGUAGGUGGUUGUUUGCGUCGGAAGUGAAAACCUAGCGCUUAACGGUGGGCUUGCUUUCGAUACGGGAUGACUUGAGGGAGGUAGGGGAGAACGGAAUUCCUGGUGGAGCGGUGGAAUGCGCAGAUAUCAGGAGGAACACCGGUGGCGAAGGC